rnacentral:rRNA from 1 species
UACGGAGGGAGCUAGCGUUGUUCGGAAUUACUGGGCGUAAAGCGCGCGUAGGCGGCUUUGUAAGUUAGAGGUGAAAGCCCGGGGCUCAACCCCGGAAUUGCCUUUAAGACUGCAUCGCUUGAAUCCGGGAGAGGUGAGUGGAAUUCCGAGUGUAGAGGUGAAAUUCGUAGAUAUUCGGCGGAACACCAGUGGCGAAGGCGACUCACUGGCCCGAUACUGACGCUGAGGCGCGAAAGCGUGGGGAGCAAACAGG